CAAUAGCGUACAUUAAAGUUGUUGCAGUUAAAAAGCUCGUAGUUGGAUUUCUGGUAGGAGUGACCGUUCCGAACUUGAUUGUUCGUGUAUUGUGUUUUCUCCAGCCAUCCUUGUGGAGAACUUUUCUUGCAUUAGUUUGUAGGGAUUGGGACCCGCAUCGUUUACUGUGAAAAAAUUAGAGUGUUUAAAGCAGGCAAUCGCUUGAAUACAUUAGCAUGGAAUAAUAAGAUAGGACUUUGGUACUAUUUUGUUGGUUUGCAUACCAAAUUAAUGAUCAACAGGAACAGUUUGAGGAUAUUCGUAUGAACAUGUCAGAGGUGAAAUUCUUGGAUUUUGAUCAGACGAACUACUGCGAAAGCAUUUAUCAAGGAUGUUUUCAUUAA
rnacentral:rRNA from 1 species